UCGUGCAUUAUUCCAUUUUAAUGAUUUCACUCACUCAUUAAAAUUUUUAAAUUUAAACUCGAGACGAUAUACAAGUUAUGUUAUUAUCAUUUCAUUUCACUUCGCCGCAGUUCUCCCUCUUAUCUAGGUGUAAAAAUAUUCAUAAAUUUUGAAAUAUUAGGAAAAAAGUUGUGAUUUAGUUAAAAGUUCUUAGUUAGAUAAUUUUAUGACUUUCAAGUCAAAAAUAUAUGUAUCAUUUUAAAAAAAUUAAUUUUCAGAACAAGGUUUUCGUUUUAUACGGGAACAAAAUGAAAAAAUUGCUUCAAACCUACAACUUGAUAAAAAAUCAGGACUGUAAUAUUACACAACAUAUGACUUUUCAUAUGAAUCAUCUGCAGUUAUAAUUAUUUAUAUUAUAAAUUUAAAAGGGCUGGAACAAGGGUUAUGUAUAGACAGCUGAUUAAACUGUCUCAAUUUUUAAAAUAUAAAUUCAUGAAAAAACUGUUACAUUGUUCAACGUGCUGCAAAUUUAUUCAAGAUGAUGGAUGUUCUGUUAAAAAAUAAUUAAAAAAUGUUUUAUAACUAUUUUCAUUAAAAACAUGAUUGCUAGGAGGGUUGAAAUCGUGGAUAUGGUCACGUGCCAAUUUUUUAAGACCCCCACUUCAUCAACUGUUAAUUUUUUUAAUUUUUAGCUCUUUUUAUUUUUUUCCGUAUUCCUGUAAUGUUAAUAAAUAACUAAUAAAAAAAUGUACGGUAAAAUUAUUAAUUGCUUUUUUUUAUGACACUUCAAAAAUUACCUGAAAUUAAUGCACCUAGACUAGAAUACCCCCUUAAGUUAUAAUCAUAGUACAGAAAAAAAAUGCUGAUACAAGAAAGCUGU